rnacentral:rRNA from 1 species
ACUUAGCGGCGGACGGGUGAGUAACGCGUGGGUAACCUGCCUUACACUGGGGGAUAACAGUUAGAAAUGACUGCUAAUACCGCAUAAGCGCACAGGGCCGCAUGGUCUGGUGUGAAAAAACUCCGGUGGUGUAAGAUGGACCCGCGUCUGAUUAGGUAGUUGGUGGGGUAACGGCCCACCAAGCCGACGAUCAGUAGCCGACCUGAGAGGGUGACCGGCCACAUUGGGACUGAGACACGGCCCAA